AAUGAAUGUACCGAAAAAACUCGUAUGUGUCGAUACAAUCGAAUGUACUUUUAACAGCUCUAUAAAUUUGGAAACAAAAAAUUUUACUUUGGAUAUUGGCCUAAAUACAUAGCCCAUAAUAUUGGUGAUUGAAUGACCUUUAUUUUCUAGAUAUUCUGUAACAUAAUGUUAACCAUGAUCAGAUUCGUGCACUUCUGAUUUGUCGAGUUAUGAUGAAAAAUAUAUAUAUGUCACCAAAAAUUCAGAAUCUCGACCAAGGUCGAAAUUAAAUUAAGUAGAAAAGCCAAAUGCUGAAAUAAUUGAUGAAACAACAGUACAAAAGACGUCAUGCUAUUAUUGAUCAUUAUUAUUUUUUCGGAUAUAUGUUUUUUAAGAAUAUUUACAAAGUCCCGUAGUAUGUUUGACGUCAGAAAAUACGCAAGUCUAUCUCCUAGUUACCAGUUUUUCAAUAAUCAAUAACGGGAAAAACGAUACAGUUCAAAUUAUUAUGAGAAAAAAUGUUAUAAGAGUGUCAAACUCAGCAGAAUCGUAUUUGCACGAACGAUUGAAGAAAGAAGCACUCAUAUUAUAUUUAAGCAGAUAUUUUUCGUUAUUUUUUACCGCUAAAAUCGAGUACGAAACUGUGGCUAUAUAUACAAGCUCAUGUAGAGAGGUUAAGAAGACCUUAUUUUGCGUGGGAGGGGAACGAAAUUCAAAAGUGUUGCUGUUAUUUCUGUGACUUUGUUUACUAGUUAAGUUUGCGAUCACUUUUUUCUUGGAAUUAUUGGCUGACAUGUGACACAACAUUGAUACGGAUGAUUUGCGUAUUUACAUUUUGGAAAGCGACAACUCCCUUCAGAAUACUAUUCCAUCUUAAAAACAAGACUCAGGGGGAAGGAUCAUUACAAACAGUCUCGAUAAUAAUCAGUAUGUAUUUAUUUAUUGUUUUCCUAUGCCUUAAUAACGUUAAUCGUUGUUGUGAUGUUUUAUUUUCGUAUUUUUAAUUGACCCACAUUCUAUCGCAGCAGGUGCACGUGACCUGAAGAAAAAUGCAGACGUAAAAGGUCAAGGUUGGAUUGAAUACACAAACUUUAUCUGAUGAAGGGGUCAUCUGAGGUCACGCUCUUAUGGCUAUUAUUGGAUACUAGCGUUAUCUUGAACACAUUGCUUUUAUGAAAACUUUACAAAAAUGAUAUUUUAUAGAAAAAAAUGCUAUCAAUAUUUUAU
rnacentral:lncRNA from 1 species